rnacentral:rRNA from 1 species
GGAAUAUUGGACAAUGGGCGCAAGCCUGAUCCAGCAACGCCGCGUGGAGGACGAAGGCCUUCGGGUCGUAAACUCCUGUCAGAGGGGGCGAAGGUAGCCAGGGCAAAUAGUCCUGGUUGCUUGACGGUACCCUCAGAGGAAGCCCCGGCCAACUACGUGCCAGCAGCCGCGGUAAUACGUAGGGGGCGAACGUUGUCCGGAUUUAUUGGGCGUAAAGAGCUCGUAGGCGGCUCAGCAAGUCGGCCGUGAAAACCCGGGGCUCAACCCCGGGACGCCGGUCGAAACUGCUGUGGCUAGGGUCCGGUAGAGGAGAGUGGAAUUCCCGGUGUAGCGGUGAAAUGCGCAGAUAUCGGGAGGAACACCAGUAGCGAAGGCGGCUCUCUGGGCCGGUACCGACGCUGAGGAGCGAAAGCUAGGGGAGCAAA